UAGCAACUUUCAGCAGUGGAUGUCUAGGCUCGCACAUCGAUGAAGAACGCUGCGAACUGCGAUACGUAAUGCGAAUUGCAGGAUUCAGUGAGUCAUCGAAAUUUUGAACGCAUAUUGCACUUCCGGGUUACUCCUGGA
rnacentral:rRNA from 1 species